rnacentral:rRNA from 1 species
AUUGAACGCUGGCGGCAGGCCUAACACAUGCAAGUCGAACGAGUGGCGGACGGGUGAGUAAUGUCUGGGAAACUGCCCGAUGGAGGGGGAAAACUACUGGAAACGGUAGCUAAUACCGCAUACCAUCGGAUGUGCCCAGAGUGGAUUAGGUAGUGGGUGGGGUAACGGCUCACCUGGGGGACGAUCCCUAGCUGGUCUGAGAGGAGGACCGGCCAGAUUGGAACUGAGACACGGUCCAGACGCCUACGGGAGGCAGCAGUUGGGAAUAUUGCGCAAUGGGCGCAAGCCUGAUGGAGCAAUGCCGCGUGUAUGAAGAAGGCCUUCGGGUUGUAAAGUACUUUCAGCGAGGAGGCGUUACUCGCAGAAGAAGCACCGGCUAACUCCGUGCCAGCAGCCGCGGUAAUUC